GAUGAACGCUGGCGGCGUGCCUAAUACAUGCAAGUCGAGCGAACAGACGAGGAGCUUGCUCCUCUGACGUUAGCGGCGGACGGGUGAGUAACACGUGGAUAACCUACCUAUAAGACUGGGAUAACUUCGGGAAACCGGAGCUAAUACCGGAUAAUAUAUUGAACCGCAUGGUCCAAUAGUGAAAGACGGUUUUGCUGUCACUUAUAGAUGGAUCCGCGCCGCAUUAGCUAGUUGGUAAGGUAACGGCUUACCAAGGCGACGAUGCGUAGCCGACCUGAGAGGGUGAUCGGCCACACUGGAACUGAGACACGGUCCAGACUCCUACGGGAGGCAGCAGUAGGGAAUCGUCCGCAAUGGGCGAAAGCCUGACGGAGCAACGCCGCGUGAGUGAUGAAGGUCUUCGGAUCGUAAAACUCUGUUAUUAGGGAAGAACAAAUGUGUAAGUAACUAUGCACGUCUUGACGGUACCUAAUCAGAAAGCCACGGCUAACUACGUG
rnacentral:rRNA from 1 species